rnacentral:rRNA from 1 species
GACGUAGGGGGCGAGCGUUGUCCGGAUUUAUUGGGCGUAAAGCGCGCGUAGGCGGCUCGGAAAGUCGAAUGUGAAAAUCCGGGGCUUAACCCCGGGUCUGCAUUCGAUACGGGCAGGCUAGAGUUCGGUAGGGGAGAUCGGAAUUCCUGGUGUAGCGGUGAAAUGCGCAGAUAUCAGGAGGAACACCGGUGGCGAAGGCGGAUCUCUGGGCCGAUACUGACGCUGAGGAGCGAAAGCGUGGGGAGCGAACAGG